AAGUAUGACGAAACCCCUAGAGAGAAGUACCGGUCCAAGUGCAGGGAACAACCGCAUAGUUCAACUUGGACCCUGAAGGUUAAACUGAUUAACACUAACAACGAGAACGGCAACAACGCAGUCUAUGGAAAAAAUACAAGCAGUAGUUAAGACAGUUUAUGCACCUAAGUCACCUACGAAACAGCUGCCUAGUUACAACCCUAAGCUUACAGUCAUUUACAGGGGGGUAGGGAGGGGUGGGGAGAGGUGCAGCCUGAAGAGGUGAGUCUUCAGUCGUCGUUUGAAAUGGGUCAGUGUCUCAGCUGUUCUGACCUCCACAGGGAAGUCAUUCCACCACCGUGGGGCCAGAACAGACAGGAGACGUGUUCUGGAAGUGCAGGUGCGAAGAGGGGGAGGUGCUAGGCGUCCUGAGGUAGCAGAACGGAGGGAUCUGGCUGGCAACGUUCUGUGUGUGACGUCUUUUGAGGACAGGAGUCCCUGGCACAUCCACGCCCACCUCCUGAAGAGUGUUUCUUAUCUGUUGGACAGAUGAUUGGGGGGUUUUCAUCAUUUUGCUUCAUAAUGGCUUCCUAAUUCAUUGGCACAAUUCUGGUCCUCUUGUUGACAAACGCCAAUAGCAGAUUCCAAAGGCAAUCAAAAGCCUAGGAUCAAGACUAGAUACUGAAAGCUCUCUUAUACCAGCACUAAGGAAGCAACUGAACACGCCUGACUAUUCAGGAACACCUGUGAAACCAUUUGUCUCAAACAUUAUGGCUUCUUGAAAUGGGGGAAUGAUGUAUAAAAUGUGAUG